AUGUUGAGGAACCUACUUGUCUUGGAUUUAUCAGACAACCUUUUAGUGGGUGAACUUCCCCGGUGUUCUCGAGAGCCUAACCUGGUUUUCCUCCUCUUAAGUCACAACCAUCUUUCUGGCAAGUUACCAUCAUCACUGAAGAACUACAAGAGUCUAGCAUUCAUGGAUCUUUCAGCAAAUAAUUUCCAUGGAAAAUUUCCAUCGUGGAUUGGAGACUUAGUAUAUUUGCGCUUUUUGCAACUAAGUCAAAAUUUCUUUUGUGGGGAUAUUCCGGUGACUAUCACAAAUCUUAAACGCCUUCGUCAGCUCAGUUUAGCAGGAAACAAUAUAUCUGGUGUUAUACCAUGGUCUUUGUCAAAUUUAACAGCAAUGACCCAAAAACAUACAAAGAGACCUGGGGUCGACAUGUUUGUAUGGUACACCGGCUAUGUGGGUAAAUUUGGAGAAGUUUGGCCCAUUGUGAUGAAGCGCCAAGAACUUAAGUAUGGUAAAGGAAUUUUUAAUGUGGUUGGUAUGGAUCUAUCACUCAACUACCUAACAGGUGAAAUUCCUGAUGGGAUAACCUCUCUUAAUGGAUUGUUGAAUCUAAACUUCUCAUGGAACCAAUUAAGUGAAAAAAUUCCUGGGAAGAUUGGAGCCAUGAAAUCACUUGAAUCAUUGGACCUGUCAAGGAACAGCCUUUCUGGUGAAAUCCCAACAAGCUUGGCAGAAUUGACUUAUUUAAGCUCCUUGGACUUGUCAUAUAACAAUCUUACAGGAAGAAUUCCAGUGGGGCGCCAACUUGACACCCUCUACUUGGAGAACCAGUCCAUAUACAUGGGCAACAUUGGUCUGUGUGGCCCUCCUCUUGAAAGGAAUUGCUCGGGAAACAAUGCACCGGAGCAUGACAAUCAACAGAAAAUUGAGAAGGUUUCUGAACCUGUGUUGUUCUUUUACUUUGGACUUGGAUCUGGGUUGGUGGCUGGCCUUUGGGUUGUGUUUUGCACCCUACUGUUCAAGAAAGUUUGGAGGGUUGCAUAUUUCCGCCUCUUUGACAAGUCGUAUGACAAGGCAUAUGUGUUUGUGGUUGUUACUUGGGGCAGGAUAAACCGAGAGCCGAUAGAAACUUAA
rnacentral:rRNA from 1 species